rnacentral:rRNA from 1 species
GAUGAACGCUGGCGGCGUGCUUAACACAUGCAAGUCGAACGAUGAUGCCAGCUUGCUGGUGGAUUAGUGGCGAACGGGUGAGUAACACGUGAGUAACCUGCCCUUAACUCUGGGAUAAGCCUGGGAAACUGGGUCUAAUACCGGAUAUGACUCCUCAUCGCAUGGUGGGGGGUGGAAAGCUUUAUUGUGGUUUUGGAUGGACUCGCGGCCUAUCAGCUUGUUGGUGAGGUAAUGGCUCACCAAGGCGACGACGGGUAGCCGGCCUGAGAGGGUGACCGGCCACACUGGGACUGAGACACGGCCCAGACUCCUACGGGAGGCAGCAGUGGGGAAUAUUGCACAAUGGGCGAAAGCCUGAUGCAGCGACGCCGCGUGAGGGAUGACGGCCUUCGGGUUGUAAACCUCUUUCAGUAGGGAAGAAGCGAAAGUGACGGUACCGA